AGAGCGACGGGCGAUGUGUGCAUAUUUUAGAGNUAAAAAUCNAUUUACUAAUCUUUAUAAAUUUACAAUCAAAUCCAAUUUCAAUAAAUUAUUAAAAAUUUAUAUCCAAUAAUAAUUUAAUUGUAACCCAUUAUUUCCUUAAAUAUAAGCUACAUCUUGAUCUGAUAUACUUUCUAAUAAAAAUUUUAGAAAAUUAUUAUUUUAAUAAAAUAUUCUGUAAACAACGAUAUAUAAACUAUAUAAAUUUAAGUGAGAUCCAUCGUGGAUUAUCGAUUACAAAACAGGUUCCCUGAAUAGACUAAAAUACCGCCAAAUUUUUUAAAUUUCAAGAACUUAACUAAUACUAAUCAAAUAUUUAAAUUUAAAUUUUUAAUAAUAGGGUAUCUAAUCCUA
rnacentral:rRNA from 1 species